CCGGCCCGGCUGCUCGAGUUCCUCACCGCUGCUGCCCCGAGGUGUGCUCGCAGCUCCAGCUUGGCCCUUGCGGGGCCGGCUCGGAGCAGGCUCCGGGCGCUGCCCCGAGCUCACGGCCGAGCCUCUGCGCUCCCACUGCAGCGGAAACCCCCGCGCCGUUCUUCUCGAGCGCCGCGUUUCCAAACAGUGACAUUUUCCAAGGUAGCCUUGACUGGCUCUGAAUCAGUUUUGGGGGUACUUUUCGUUUUGCUGUGUCACGACAAAUAAGGACAAAUUGCAGCAUAACCUGGCAAAUCCGGGGUUCUGCCCUGUCUGCGUGAUUUUAAUUUCAAGAUAUUUUUCUUCUUUCAUUUGGCCUCUGAAUAAACAUCCCCAAAGAAGGAGGGGCAAGGAGAGAGCCUCGGAGAGAGAACCAGGGAAAGAGUCGUGGUUUGGUUAACUGGAGCUACAGCUGACUCUGCUUCUCUGCUACACCCUGGGCCUGGGAGGGGCCGAUAUUCUCAAUCAAGAUGAAGAGUUGGGAGAUGUGUAAAAGAAGUCUUUGCUUUUUGGUGAAAGGUGAGUGGCAGAGAAAGAAAAAAUAAGAAAACAUGAGCAAAGCAUGGAGAAGGAGGGUAACUCUUGCUUGAGUCGUGUGAGCCUGGCCUAACAGUAUGAAAUCAUGUAAGUGUAAGGGGAAAAUCCUGCUAUAGCGUAGGGCUGGACUAAUAGGUGUUUACAGUCUCUUAUUUCAGUUCUUGUAUAACUCUGGGGAAAUCAGAACUCUCACAAAGCUCUUAUUCUUACAGGAAGUAUCAUGAGUAUGUGGUUGUCACUUAGGAGAGCAUCUCUGGAUUGUAACUUAAGGCUCCAUGGCUGUUUCAGGAACACAGGUUAUGCAUAUUUACAUGCAGAACAUUUGGCCUUUAUUUUGAAGGUCUGCUGUGGCAGUUCCAGAAAACCAUCCUGAGCAAAACAAGGAAAACAGUUCUUAAAUAUACAGUGAGUAUUAUUUUGGCCAAUCUUUUGCAAUUCUAACCAAAUCACAUCAGUGUGUUGAAAGAGAAUCAAAAGGUGGUGUUGAAGAAGGACAAAGGAGGAAGAUGGUUGAGUGGUUUAACAAGAGGUAAGGUGAUAGGAGAUCUUUAUUCUGGCUGUUUGGUUAGUGCCUCCUGCACAGCCUUCUGCAAACUUUUUAAUAACUUCUUUCUCCCAUGGGGUGGAGGACACGAAAUGUGUAGAUGUGUUUAAGUCAUGAGAGCAGUUUGGGGGUGCUGGGACGUGCAGACAUACGGAGCCCCUCUGCUUUUGGGCAGGCAAUUCCCGCGGUAAGGAGAGCACAGCGAGCAAGCUCUGCUCCAGCAGGGUGUUUCUGGGGCAAGAGAAGGACCGGGCCCGAGAGUGCCGAGUGUCCCAGCUCCGGAGUGUCCCUGCUCCCAGGGCAGCUCCCGAGUGUCCCAGCUCCCGAGUGUCCCAGCCCUGCCAGGGGGGCCCAGCCCAGCCCUGGCUGUGCCGGCGAUCCCUGCUGCGCUCCUGGACGGCUGGGUGGGCUGGACUGACUUGGCACCGCCUGCUGAGGCUGCUGCCAACAUUUAACAAAGGAAUCCUUUACACACAUUCUUGCCUGAUACGGCACCUUUUCAGCUCUGCUGCACGGGAAGGGAAGAAAAAGUCUACGUUUAAUAUGUAAAUAAAAGUACUGAUCCAGGAAAAAGGUCACUGCAUUCAUCCUGGGCAGUUCAGAUCGCUCUCAGAUAACUUUGGCUUUACAAGUUUCCAGCACAGCCUGCCAUUGUGUCCCUGCUCACGGAGACCAGGAAAACGGGGAACUGGGUCGGUCAUCAGCACUCAAGACACCACCAUAGUAUCGAGUUAAUCAGAUCAGGGAAAUUCAUCACUGAGUUCUUCACAUCCAGCUAAAGUACGACUGAGAAGUGAAAACAAGGAAGAAACAGCACUGAGGGAAAAAUCAAGUAUGCUGUUCACAGACACUGUAAUUAAACGAUCUCUUUGUUACAGAACAGUUUGGUCAGCUUUGACAGAAUUAAAAACUCCCCAUCAAAAGAAUCUCCAGGACACUGAUCAUAAAUUAAAACCUGCUGGUGUAAAAAGUGCUUGAAAGAGCAUCUUAAAUAUCCUCAGUGAACAAACUGAACAAAGAGACCCUCAUCUCAACCUUCAUCUCAGCUAUUCCUACAACCUCUCAUAAAAGUGUGCACCAAUUGUGGGUUCUUUUCAUUAAGCACAUUCAAGUGGUAUUUCCAAGAUUAAAGCCUGUGAUUCUAUUCCAGCAGAAUAGGAAUAUCAACUUAAGAUCUUUAAAGUGCAUUUAUGUAGUUUUAACACAUUUAAAAGUAUUUUAAUGCUUAAACAAAAAAUUCUGUGGAUCUGAAUGGUGCUUAUUAGGAAUGGUGCUUUAAUGCAGUUAAGAGUGUAAUGCAGUUAAGAGUGUAAAAGGCGUUAGAAUCCUAACAGGAAAGUUACAUCUGUGCAAGUACCUGAAAAGAGCUGAGAAGUUAAGAAAAGGCUCCGGUAUUUCCACAUGGCCUACCAAAGGGAAGGAGCACUGGUAUGCUGCCAAAUUCCAGGAGAGCUGAGCAGUGAUUAGAGUUUAACUUUGGCAUCAGACAGGAGGCUUUUUUCCCCUUGAAAUUCUCUGUGUAAAAAAGUGCUGAAGCUUUUUCUCAGCUUUUCAGUUGGAGGAAAAGAAGAAAACCAAGCCCCACCCUCAAAAGCUAAUAAAGAGCUUGCUUUAGGAAAACAUCUGGUAGCUUUGAGUGCCUUAGUGCAGAGAACUGUGCAUUUUCCCGAUGUGGGAGUGUGGUGUGCACACUGUUUCUGAAGCCAUGAGCAGCAUGGGAGGUAGGAAAAUCAUUUUGCUGAGUCACAAGUAGCAACUAAUAGAAGAAGAAGAAACUGCAAGUUCUGACACAGACUUUAAGCAGAAAGAAAACUGUCUGGGAUGGUGGGGAGUGGUGAGGUCUGUUCUCUGUAACAGUGUGACAAUUCCAUGCCACCACAUCCAGUCACAGCCUGGCAUUGCAGCACCCCAGCGUGACACCACCAGGAAAAGCACCUCGGGAACAGUGAGGAGACCUGGAUUCUGCAGCUGGGAGUCACAAACCAGUCCUACCAACUGAGGACAGGAGUCAGAGCACAGCCCUGCCAACUGAGCAAAGUUCAGAAAGAAGCAGGGAACAGAAAGAAGAUGAGGUGAAGGGCAACCUCUGAGAGCUUCCUGCUGGCUGUGAGCACUGUGCCUGCUUGGCUGGGGUCUCCUGGGCACACACCACAGCACAGUGAGGCACUCCUGGGCUUUUCACCUGGUUAAAAAAGAGCAGCUUCAGUAGCCAAAAGUGGUAGUGAGUCCUACUCCUCUCCUCAGCUACUACAUUAGCCCAUACAGACUUUUACCACCUCCACCUGGAUUCCAGCCCUGAGGCCUUGGAAAAUAAACAGAGCAGCCCUGGAGGCCCCCAGGCCUCAGCCACUGACUGGUGAGAGCCCCAGCCCCCAGGGUGCCACCAGCUCUCACAGCUGGGACCAGAGGCAGCAGCAGCUGAAGUUCCCAUAGGACCCUGCCAAGGAGCUGUACAGGAUUAAGGGGACAGGUAAAAGUGUCACUUCUGGAACUUCACCAUCACUGUCAGAAAACAGAAUUUCCCUUUCAAAAACAAACCAAAAAGAAACAAUAAUCCUCCCCACCAAAACCAAGAAAGGCAGUGCUGCCAAACAAAUCAGUCAGACCCUUACCUUGCAGACAUGAACACGACUUCAGGUGCUUUUAACAAUGAGCCAUUCACAGAACCAUUUUAUUAAUUUUUCUCCCCCACUCCAGGAUUAGGGACUGACAUCUCACUCUGUAUCAUCUACUGGGAAGAAGGUGAAGAAGUCACUGGCUCCUUUCACCUCCAGUAAAUACAAGGACAUCUGCAACCUGCAAGUGUCAGAGAAGGAUUACCAUGCAGCCACAGCUGGGCUGAAGGGCAGCAGACAUUCUACAGAGCACAAGGUGAAAUGAAUUUCUAUAAAAAAGAGAAGCAAAACGCCAGAUUCUCAAGCAAAGUGCCAGCAGACCUUUAAUGGUGCUGGGAACCAGCCAAGACUCAGUUACAUUUCUUUUGAAAGGAUCCUGUAUAAUGAAGCACACUGAAAAAAUAUGCAGAGAGACUGACAGCAGUGUUUAUUUUGUUCAUGGCACUAUAUUUAUCCAGGGAACAGAGGGAAAAAAAAAGCUGUGGACUGAGAAAAAAGGUGGUGGUCUUCCAAUAACACCAUAAAACCACACAGACCCAGAGCAGAAGGCCAGAAAACUCUUUGUUCCCUCUGCAUGGACAUGGGGAUGCUGCCCCUGUAACAUCCAGUAGCUUUACAAGUGAUGGAGCACACAGCACGCAGGCCUUGGAGGGAAGGAGCCGGGGUUUAUUUUUUAAGGAGGUGGGAAGCUGAAGGGGAGGAUGAAAAAAUGGUAUAAACCAUGUUUUAUAAGCAAAGUUUUAAAGGACCCUUAGCAGGCUUAAAAAAAAAAGAUGAAGUACAGUCACUACAUUCUUUCUUUCCAUGGACGGAACAGGCCAGUGAAAACAACUGACCUCAACUGUUUGAAUCGUGUGUGUGUUGUUAUGCAACAGCCAGUCCCCUGCACUUCUCCUGGGGAAGUGCACAUGGUAGAGAAGUUCAUUCUUUAAUUACCCUCCUGAAUUUGUUUUACUUACAGUUAACCUGUGGCUGAUUGCUAACAUCAGCAACCAUAACAGCAGUUCAAAGAAUAUUCCCUUUUGCAACAGUACCUAAUUUCUCCAUAUGAGAAAACUCUGUAUUCAGCUCAUUUGGCUCGUUCCCUCACAGAGUAUUUCUUUGGUUACAUUGGUCUUCUACGUUCAAGGGAAAGUUUUGGCUUUUUGGCUUUUUUUCAACAGGAAAAAUAAUUUAAAGUCUUCCAUGGCUGACUAUAAACCCAAGGCAGGCAUAUAGCCCCAGCUCUCCAAAGCCCUACACAGAGGAAGGAACAAAUCCCGAUUCCUUGCAGGCUUGCCUUCUCUUCCCACCCUCCCCACUCCCACGGAGGCCACUGCCCCAGCCCCCUACCCAGAGUCCCCCUGCACAGGCAGCAGCUUAGCUCCUGUUUCUGUCCUCCAACUCCUGCUUGAGCAGAAGGAAGCCAGUGCUGUGCUAGGUUCCAUGUGUGCAGACCACAGAUCCUUCUUUGGCCUGGCUCGCCUAGGAACCAGCCAAACUUCCUUGGCAAUCCCUGCCUAAAGCAGAGGAAAUCUUUGGAUUUAUCGUCUCCACCAAGCCCUUAAUUUUCAUGCAACUGGGAUUAAGUCAGCUGUCUGCGAGAUCUUUCUUGUCACUGAAGCUGGCCAAAAGAUUUAAGUUAUUUUUGAGGAGGGGGUAGAACAGGACAGAGCACUAAUGCAAAAGCAGUGGAAACUAUACUAAAAAUAUUUCAAAUAUGACAGCAUUCUCUUAAUAGUUAUGUUGUACUUCUGUUCAGCUGAAAGGUGACUUGGGAGAGAUUUUGACAGGCGUUUGCCGUUUUAAGUAUUUCAGAUCCUGCCAGUUUCUCCAGCAGUUUCUCAGCAUUGCAAGAUACUGGUCAAAACAUCCUGAUUUAGCCAGUUAAGCACAGCUAAUUAUAGUUGCUUACUGACAAUCCAAGAGUUGUCCUGGGGCAUGUGUGCUCUUCCCAGGAAAACAAAGCUGGGAGUAACAAUUCAGGUUCACAGCAUAAAAAAAAUUCAGUAUUAAUUUAGUAGCCCCCAUCUCUUGAAAGGAUCAAAAGCUGAUAUUCCAUUGCUUGCUUCCAAACCAGCCCAUCACCACAGGAGCUCCCAACUCUUACCAAAGCUUGAGGCCAGCUGGAAACAGCCUCCAUCACUGAGCUCCACAGCUGAUUGAGAAAGAGCCACUUGUGGGUUUGUCUGAAGUGCCCAAAGCUCUCCCUCCAGCAUUUCUGCCUGUUUUGCUUUCAAGAGAUUUUCUGUUCAAUCAGUGACUGGUCUUUAAUGAAAUGGAAUUUUCUAGUGCUUCUCCCUCUCUGCCUGUAAGCACAGUAACUGAGCUCUUUCAGAACAUCAGAAAAUUUGGAACAUCUUCACUUUCUAAUAAUCUCAAAGCAUCAUCAGUGUACCAAGUCCUUCAUGGGUAAUCAUUUUCCUCCUCUGCAAAUGAGAGGUUUUAAUUUAGUGCACCCAGGGCACAGCAUUGCCCUGCAGUCCCUCUCACUGGGCCAUGGACAACACACAGAGUGGAUCUGAUCUUAGCUGCCCUCUCCAUCCAUCCGUCCAUCCAUCCAUCCAUCCAUCGCGGUCUCACUCCCUCUGUUCUGUCAAUUAAGUCCAUUCCACUCACUCUCUAAAAGGCAAGUCCUUGAUUUUGGAAUGCUGGCAGACUGGUCAGGUGAGUGUGAGAGAUCUACAAUGGCAUUUUCCUUUCCUCAACUUCAGUAUUUCACUGCACAUGCUUGCAGUAGUUGCAACUCCCUUUCUGGCAUGUUUUGAGGGAUUGUUUUUGGUUUUAAACAUUUGGCAAGCCCAAGUUAAAGAUGACAUUUUUAUGCCAUAAAGCUAGACUCAGUGUUAUAAACACAAUAUUAGUACUGAAAACUCAAAAAGGCAAACUAAUUCAGCUUUCUUGUGGACAGAUACAGCUGUUGGCUUUCAGUGCCAGACACUGCUAUUUCAGCUUUUGUUCUGAAAGAAACAAACCAGUCAAACCAGUGUCAAUUUAGUCAUCUCGAAAUUAGAAAGGAGAACAACUUAACUCAUAUUAACAAAAUUCAUGGAACUGAAUGAAAUUGCUUUUCUUUAGGAAAAAAAUCAGCAGCUCAGUCUUUGGAAAAUAAUUAGAUGACAAAAAUAAUCUGCCAAAUAGGAAUUACUGAGGGAAGCUGAGAAGCAGUGCUACAGCAUCUCACAACAGCAUAUCCACAACUGUUACAUUCAGACACCAAUCCCACACUUGCCCCCUCCUGAGCUUGGAAUAGCUCAGCUCUAGAAAGGUUCAACAAAACAUAAUUGUAAUUAAGUGUGAGGGAAAGGGGAGUGAGGGAUCUGUUCUUUCAACUCAUAGGGUUGGUUCUGCUGCACAAAGUCUGCUACCAAAGGCAGCAGAGAAAAUUAAUUGCUUCCCUUGGUUCUGAUAUCAUCUCACAGACUCCUGCGGGUAAUUACUAACCUGCUUCCCAUAAAGCCCUCCAGGAACUCGCAGCCUGGGGCUCCGACUCCUGGAACAAACCAGGGAUUACACAUCUUUCAGAGGGUAACAGUGCUCCAGAUUGACUCACACUGCCAGGUCACACCGCUGCCAUCAGUCACUGCUGCCCACAGCGCUCCGUGGGCACUGCUGCACUUGGCACAAGACAGGGCUGUGGUGCUGAUACUGCAAUGUGUCUGUGGUGCUAAUAUUGCAACAUGGUGCUAAUAGUGCAACAUGUCUGUGAUGCUGAUAUUGCAGUACAUCUGUGGUGCUGAUACUGCAACAUCUGUAGUGCAAAUACUGCAACAUGUCCACGGUGCUGAUACUACAACAUGGCACUAAUACUACAAUAUAUCCGUGGUGCUGAUACUACAAUUUAUUCUUUUAAGACAGCUGAAGCAGCAUUAGGUGCCUUAUCCUUCAGGCUUUUGGAGACAUGCGUGAUUUGGAAGCAUUGUAACAGCAUAUUUAUACCACCACUUGUCAAGAACUUGAUUUGAGAAAAUUCCUUGAGUUUUUUUCUAAACAUUAGAAUUUCACUGAAGUACAUGUGGAAGCAGAGAUUGCUUCCUUUCACUCUUCCAGGGAGCAGAAAUCCCACUGGAUCCCAUCCUGUGCUCACCUGCAGUCUGCAGUCUGAUUCUGUGGAGAGCUGCUGAUAAACCACUUAGAGGGAGUGCAGGAAUCUCAGAGGAGCUGGCAGUGUCCCAAAGCAGCAGCUAAGACUGUUGGCUUUUGUGAUUAUUUGUGCUUGUUGUCUUCUCCACACAAUCUGAGUGGUCAGUGAGGGAGAAGUUCAUUAUUACAAAGGCUGUAGAAUAUCAGGCUGGAGUUUUUAUGUCAAUUCCUUGAAGGGAAACAAUUCCAGCGAAAGACUGCCUUUGGAAUUAAACUGUAUCUAUCUUAUGAAUUAUUUAUUUAUUUUUAAAUGAAAAAGACCAUAUAACAGGUAAGUUUGGGUUUGGUACCAAACACUCCAUUCAGCUCUAAACAGACCCAGACAAGAAGAGUCUCCUUCAGGUCAUUGAUAACAACCUCAUAACCCCCAGCCCCUCCUAUGCAGGUAUUUGAACUGCAGUGACUCAGAAUUUCACUGUUUUAUUCAAGCAAAGGCUCUUACCUGAGCAGUUCAUUCUCUAACAAAACCCAGCAACACCUGAAAAGCCAGAGGGGUUAAUGCCACCAUUUCCACAGGCAGUGAAAAACUCCUAAGAACAGCUUAGAAAGCUCAGAGCAGCCCUUAGAAAGAUUUUUCUGCACCAAAGCCUUAUUGUCUUACUUUUUUUCCCCAACUUGGGUACAUUUCACUUUGAAAAAAAAAAAUACAGUUGAAGAGCAGCAAAGUAAAUGUAAGAGUUACAAGAAGUUCUUCCACUUCCAUAUACUGUCACCAUCUUUCCAGUCACUUUCAACUUCACCUCAUCUGAAGUCUUUACCUGGUUUUCUCCCAAACAAAUAUAAUUCUCUUCGUAUACUUAAAAAGUAUUUUCUAAAGCCCAUCUUAAAGAACUAAAAUUGAUUCUUCACAUUAAUGAGCUAACGAAAACAUUAUGGCAAUUCUAAAGUGAUAAUUGUUUCAUGGCCUCAUAAGGAUUCCCUUCUGGAGAAAUUAGAUAUAAAGCCAAAUUAGCUGAUUUAUAUUUUGGAGGCAGGGUGACUCAACACACAUUCAUAUCUAGAGCUUCAAUCUCUGUGCAGGGGAACAGAAGCAUCCAGUUGAUGAAAGGAAACAAUGGAAAGAAACAGCAGAAUCCUAAUUAAAUGCCCACUCCUUCUGUGCUUACUGGGAAGCUCUUCUUACACCCACCCACCUGGCAUUUGGCAGAGAAAUUUUCAACCCUCAAGCAAUUCACCCUCUAAACUUCCCACAGCCUGGAUUUGAAUCCUGCUAAUUCAGGACCAGUGCUGUGCUUGGGAACAGUAUUCCCCAAAAUACAUCUGAAGCUGGUGAAGCACACAGCUGUCUCCCAGCCCCAUGAAAUACAUUCUUUUGUACCAAAGCAGUUUUACUGUGAGCUGCCACAAGCACAGCUCUGCUCCAUUGGCACAGGACACAGCUCCCACCUCCAGAGGCCUGGCACUGGCAGAGGCUGGGCCAAGCCCCUGCCUGGAAGCUGUCACUAACCCAGGGACACAACUCGCGGCCAACCUGCCCCUCCUGCUCACAGAGCUCACCCACACCUUGCUCCCACACAAACAGCUCCAGGAGGGCACCUCCCAGACAGAAGGACAGCAGAAAGCAGUCUGGAUUCAUGUUUAUUGAAGCCAGUAAUUAAAGACGUCCUCGUUUUGCCAGCACUAGAAAGCAAGGUUCCACAUGACUGCAUACUGCACCUGGUUAAAGCCAUACAACUGGACUAACGUUUGUUUCAUACAUUUGCAGUCCUAAUUGUAAGUUGGAAGAAAAACGAAUAAACUUAGUAUACAGGACAGUGAACUUUCAUUUACAGCAUGUAUAUUGUUAAGUUCACAAUGUACAGAGCAGUCACUUUCAACGUAGUUAAAUUAAAUAAAAUACGAAAUUGUGUUCAGUUUAAACAGUUUUUUUUAAAAAUGCCAAUAAAAAAGUGCAAACUUAAAAUCAAGCAGCAUAACCACAGCAUUUUUAUGGAGGGCCAAUCUUUAAAGUUUUCUAUUUGCUUCAAGUUGAAUGCUUUCAUCUUUUGUUUUCUUAGUUUAAACAUGAACAGUAGAUGCAGUCACUAUAAUGCAUAUAAAUAUAGGCAUAUAAUAGUUUAAACAGUCUACCAUACAAGUGUAUCUGCAAAUAAAAUGAAGUUUCACUUGAAAAUGUAAAGGCUGUUUGCAUUUGGCCUUUGGUUCCAAUGCGUGAAGACACCAGAAUAACAACUGUGCAGCUCACCAAAGCCAGCAGACUUUGGCACCCACAGAAUGCUACAUUACUUACACCUCUUCAGUAAACUAGGAGCAUUCACUUGCAAUUAGAAACUGGAACUCUGUCCCUGUUUUGUCUUUCUGCAAAGUCGGUAAGUUAUCACACAGUAACAGUUUAGAUCAAUUUUAGUAUACUCAACAUUUUUAUACAUUUGGAAAAUACUUCAGUUGUAAGUUUUACCCAUAUUGCUAGAAAAGUGCUUAUCAGGUUAGAUGACAAAAAAGGCAGCUUCAGACUGAGGUUUUUAAACUAUGCCAUUAGAGUCACACACUUCAGUUUUCCUGGCCGAUUUUUCAUAGUUUAGUCACCAAUCUCACUUCUCACUGUCAGGAGGACAGUGUGUAACUACUUCUGGUGUGGUAACUUGCAACUGCAGCUGUUACACCAGGAAGUGCAUCCACAUCACCAUUAGCCAGCCACAGCCUUAGUCUAACUGUUAUCUAGACAACUGUGUAACUUCAGAUCAUACCAUUUCUUUAAAAAUUAAAAAAAAAAGAGUAUUUUCAACAAAAAAAAACCUGGCACAAGUAACAUACUCAUGUUAAUGUUUGUCAAAGAGGCAAGUAAAUACUCUUAGCUUUCUAGAUGUCUAGACAGGCUCACAUGAACAGCCUCUUGGUGUAACAUAGGAGUUGAGGUUAACACCCAGCACUGUGUUAGUGGUCAGUCUAAUUCUGUAUAUUUAAGUAACAAUAUAUAUUAGGGAAGUUAUAUCCAGACAUCAGAUUUAGUACAACAAGUUCAUAUCAAUAAAAAGUAAACUCUGUAUGACUCAAAUUGUGGUUUUUCCCUUCAGCAUUAAGAGCACAGAAUAUGCUUGGUAUUUUUAACUUCUGGUAGUGUGUCCAUGUAAAACAAGCAUAUAAUGUAUAAAAUCAAAGUGCCAUUUCAGUAACCACUGCAGUUGUGUUUGUACAGAAUGAGGGUUUAUGUGACCAUGGACAGGGCUCCCUCAGAGCAAUGGGGACAACCACAAUCCAUCUUUCCAAAUGAAAUGCUACAUGAAAGAAAACACAAAACAUCUUCUUCACGAUGUCCGUCGUGUACACAUUCAUACUUUUUAGGUUACCUUCAGGAUUGGAGUUGGCUGCAUCUGCAGCAGAUGUUGUUGGAACUAGGGCCUUGAAAGUUUUUUUUAAAAACCUCCAUAGGUGUAAGGCAGGAAUCCAUUUUAGCUUGGUAGCUAAUACUUAGUUACAAAAAAAGUAAGAAAGAAAAAUACUGAGAGUGUUCUGUAGGACAUUUCAUUAUGGGAACAUGAUCCAUCACCCACCAUUUUUCAUAGGCCAGCCUCUUGGCAUAAAAAAAGGCAGAAGCUAU